GUGAGGGGGUGACUAGUGACAGAGUGAGGGAAGGGGUGACUAGUGGCAGAGUGAGGGAAGGGGUGACUAGUGGCACAGUGAGGGAAGGAAGGGGUGACUAGUGACAGAGUGAGGGAGGUGGUGACUGUCACUAGUCACCACCUCCCUCACUGUCACUACCCUCCCUCCUUCUGUCACUAGUCACGCCCUCCCUCACUCUGUCACAUGUCAUCCCCUCCCUCACUCUGUCACCAGUCAUCCCCUUCCCUCACUCUGUCCCCCCCUCACUCUGUCACUAGUCACCCCCUCAC